ACUUUGUGAGAUGCCUUGGGAAGGACACCAUGAAAAUGAAUAUGUAAAUGAAGAAAAGACAGUAUAAAAUACAUAGAUAUAUAAAUGUUAAUUUCUUUUGCAUCUCUUACUGAUGGCUUUUCCCCUCUCCUAGACUUAUAUUUGCCUUGACUUCUGCUAUGGAGACCCUCAUGCCAGGCAACUUUGUACUUUUACAGAGUCCACUGCAGAUGUCUGCUAGAAGAAGUAAUAUACAACGAAUCAUUCGUCAGUGGAAAUGAUGAAAGUCUCCAUUAUAUUACAGACUUUACAGAAUGUUGCUAUUGAUGACACCUGCCCUUUUCUAAGAAGUGAGCUAUGACAUGGACUUACAUUCUUUUCCAAUGUAAGCUAAGACACUAAUGGAAAGUGAGAACAAUAUGACUCUAUAACAAGGAAUGUU
rnacentral:lncRNA from 1 species